rnacentral:rRNA from 1 species
AUACGGAGGAUGCGAGCGUUAUCCGGAUUUAUUGGGUUUAAAGGGUGCGUAGGUGGUAGAUUAAGUCAGCGGUGAAAGUUUGUCGCUCAACGAUAAAAUUGCCGUUGAUACUGGUUUACUUGAGUAUAGUUGAAGUAGGCGGAAUGCGUGGUGUAGCGGUGAAAUGCAUAGAUAUCACGCAGAACUCCGAUUGCGAAGGCAGCUUACUAAGUUAUAACUGACACUGAAGCACGAAAGCGUGGGUAUCAAACAGGAUUAGAUACCCUGGUAGUCCACGCAGUAAACGAUGAUUACUAGCUGUUUGCGAUAUACAGUAAGUGGCACAGCGAAAGCGUUAAGUAAUCCACCUGGGGAGUACGCCGGCAACGGUGAAACUCAAAGGGAAUUGACGGGG